rnacentral:rRNA from 1 species
UACGAAGGAUUCGAGCGUUAUCCGGAUUUAUUGGGUUUAAAGGGUGCGUAGGUGGAUUAAUAAGUCAGUGGUGAAAGCCCGGAGCUCAACUCCGGAACUGCCAUUGAUACUGUUAGUCUUGAGUACAGUUGAGGUGGGCGGAAUGUGUCAUGUAGCGGUGAAAUGCUUAGAUAAUGACACAGAACACCGAUUGCGAAAGGCAGCUCACUAAGCUGUAACUGACACUGAGGCACGAAAGCGUGGGGAGCAAACAGG